rnacentral:tRNA from 2 species
GCCUCCCUAGCUCAGUUCGGUUAGAGCGCCUGUUUCGUAAUCAGGGGGUCGGCGGUUCGAAUCCGUCGGGGGGCU